AACGCUAGCUACAGGCUUAACACAUGCAAGUCGAGGGGAAACGACAUCGAAAGCUUGCUUUUGAUGGGCGUCGACCGGCGCACGGGUGAGUAACGCGUAUCCAACCUGCCCACCACUUGGGGAUAACCUUGCGAAAGUAAGACUAAUACCCAAUGAUAUCUCUAGAAGACAUCUGAAAGAGAUUAAAGAUUUAUCGGUGAUGGAUGGGGAUGCGUCUGAUUAGCUUGUUGGCGGGGUAACGGCCCACCAAGGCAACGAUCAGUAGGGGUUCUGAGAGGAAGGUCCCCCACAUUGGAACUGAGACACGGUCCAAACUCCUACGGGAGGCAGCAGUGAGGAAUAUUGGUCAAUGGACGAGAGUCUGAACCAGCCAAGUAGCGUGCAGGAAGACGGCCCUAUGGGUUGUAAACUGCUUUUAUAAGGGAAUAAAGUGAGAGUCGUGACUCUUUUUGCAUGUACCUUAUGGAUAAGGACCGGCUAAUUCCGUGCCAGCAGCCGCGGUAAUACGGAAGGUCCGGGCGUUAUCCGGAUUUAUUGGGUUUAAAGGGAGCGUAGGCCGGAGAUUAAGCGUGUUGUGAAAUGUAGAUGCUCAACAUCUGAACUGCAGCGCGAACUGGUUUCCUUGAGUACGCACAAAGUGGGCGGAAUUCGUGGUGUAGCGGUGAAAUGCUUAGAUAUCACGAAGAACUCCGAUUG
rnacentral:rRNA from 1 species